UAGUUGAGCACUCUAGCGAGACUGCCCGGGUUAACCGGGAGGAAGGUGGGGAUGACGUCAAAUCAUCAUGCCCCUUAUGUCUAGGGCUACACACGUGCUACAAUGGCUGGUACAGAGAGAUGCUAAACCGUGAGGUGGAGCCAAACUUUAAAACCAGUCUCAGUUCGGAUUGUAGGCUGAAACUCGCCUACAUGAAGCUGGAGUUGCUAGUAAUCGCGAAUCAGAAUGUCGCGGUGAAUACGUUCCCGGGCCUUGUACACACCGCCCGUCACACCAUGAGAGUUGGCAAUACCCAAAGUUCGUGAGCUAACGCGNUAGGGUCAGCGAUUGGGGUGAAGUCGUAACAAGGUAGCCGUAGGAGAACCUGCGGCUGGAUCACCUCCUUUCUA
rnacentral:rRNA from 1 species